AUUGAACGCUGGCGGCAUGCCUUACACAUGCAAGUCGAACGGCAGCACGGGAGCAAUCCUGGUGGCGAGUGGCGAACGGGUGAGUAAUAUAUCGGAACGUGCCCGGUCGUGGGGGAUAACGUAGCGAAAGCUACGCUAAUACCGCAUACGAUCUACGGAUGAAAGCGGGGGGAUCGCAAGACCUCGCGCGAUUGGAGCGGCCGAUAUCAGAUUAGGUAGUUGGUGAGGUAAAGGCUCACCAAGCCGACGAUCUGUAGCUGGUCUGAGAGGACGACCAGCCACACUGGGACUGAGACACGGCCCAGACUCCUACGGGAGGCAGCAGUGGGGGAAUUUUGGACAAUGGGCGCAAGCCUGAUCCAGCAAUGCCGCGUGCAGGAUGAAGGCCUC
rnacentral:rRNA from 1 species